UAAAAAAUUCUAAAACUAAACCCUCAGAACGCAUACAAAUUGUAAAUCCUGAUGUAGAUCCAAUCAGUUUUUAUGUCCUAAAACCUAAAAUCCACAAAUAAAACAGAUAAAAAUUUUAUUCAAUUCUAAAAUCUAUUUCUUACACUUGUACAGAAAAUAAUGUAGACUAUUCUUUACUGUAAACUGUACAGUUCACAUUGUAUACACUGCACAGGGCUGACUGUACAGUUCACAUUGUACACUGCACAGGGCUGACUGUACAUAAAUAGGAAUGUAGAAUCCAGAUCUUGGCCCGGACGGCACGGAAAUAUUUCCAUCGGAAAAAUUCCGAUGUCCAUGCCUGGAAGAGUUAAGGGAUUCCAACCCGUGAUUCUUGGUUCAAUUCCAUUCAUUUCUAAAUCAAAGGAAAGUAAAAAUAGAAUUCAGAAACCUGAACUUUUCUUGACUCCACUUCAUCCUUUCUUCGCAGGUU